AUGGCACGAGAUACAAAUGGGCAUGGCACCCAUACACUGUCCACAGCUGGUGGUAGAUUUAUUGGUGAAGCAAACCUCUUGGUUUCGGCCUAUGGAACUGCAAAGGGUGGGCCGCCUAAUGCUCAAGUUGCUGCCUACAAGGUUUGCUGGUCAGGGUGCUAUGACGCUGAUGUAUUGGCUGCCUUUGAUGCUGCCAUACAUGAUGGGGUUGACAUGUUGGGAUUGAGCCCUAUGGGCCCACCAUGGCUGGCGCUUAGCACUUCCGAAGGGAAGGCUAAAGGCCCAGGACCGUGGCCCCUCGAUCACACCAACUGUUUAUUUGUUCCAAUAAAAGAGGCGUCCUCAGGAAUUGAACCUAGGACCCAUAGGGCUCAAUCCCAAUAUGACAUCCUUUCUAUUUCACUUGGAUUCCCUCUUCGUGAUUAUUUCUUAGACGCCAUCUCAAUUGGAUAUUUUCAAGCUGUCAAGAAUGGAAUUGUUGUUGUCUGCUCCGCUGGGAAUAGUGGACCCACGCCUGGGAGUGUUCGCAACUUGGCACCAUGGAUUGUAACUGUUGCAGCUAGUACAAUUGAUUGGGGUUUUCCCUCGUAUGUCAUGCUGGGGCUGAGCUUCUAUACCAAUAGUUUGCCGGCUGAGAAGUUUUAUCCCCUGGUAUAUUCUGUAGAUGUUAGAGCUGAUAAUGCUUCUGAAAGAGAAGCACUAGCUUUUGCUGCAUUUGCUUUCUGUCUGUGUUGUAGACAACUUUGCUCUGUUGGAUCCCUGGACCCAAAGAAGGUUAAAGGGAAGAUUGUAUAUUGUCUGGUUGGUCUUAAUGCAAUUGUACAGAAGAGCUGGGUGGUUGCUCUGACAGGUGGCGUUUGGAUGAUUCUUGCUAACCAUCUGACCACCACUGCGUUGAUUGCUCAGGCCCACUUUGUUCCCACUUCACACGUCUCUGCAGCUGAUGGUCUUGCCAUUUUGUUAUACAUCCAGACUACGAAGUACCCUGUGGCUUAUAUCAGUGGUUCAACAGAAGUGGGUACGGUACCAGCACCAAUCAUGGCUACUUUUUCGUCCCAGGGCCCCAAUCCAAUCACUCCAGAAAUCCUCAAGCCUGACAUCACCGCACCAGAGUGCAAAUUUUAGCUGCUUACACAGAAGCAAAUGCGCCUACAGGUCUUCAAUCAGAUGAUCGCCGUGUUCCCUUCAACAUUGGAUCUGGUACUUCAAUGUCAUGUCAUCAUGUUGCUGGAACUGUAGGCCUUCUCAAAAAGAUUCACCCUCAUUGGAGUCCAUCAGCCAUAAGAUCUGCAAUUGUGACCACCGCAAGAACCAGAAGUAAUGUGAGACAACCUAUGGCGAAUGGUACACUUUCAGAGGCAAACCCCUUCAACUAUGGAGCAGGGCAUCUAUCGCCUAACCGUGCAAUGGACCCUGGCUUGGUCUAUGACUUCACCACUGACUACUUAAACUUUUUGUGCUCUAUUGGCUAUAAUGCAACCCAACUAUCAAGGUAUGUAGACAAGCCAUACAAAUGCCCAUCAAAGCCCACGAGCCCUUUACCCCUCAAUUACUGUCCCAAGUUUCUCAGGCAAGGUAACGGUGACCCAGACCCUGAAGAAUGUUGGAACUCCAGCUACAUACACGGUUCGAACUGAGGUGCCUAGUGGAAUAUCGGUGAAGGUGGAACCUAAGAGACUGAAAUUUGAAAAGAUUAAUGAAGAGAAAACUUUCCAGGUGACACUGGAGGCAAAGAGAGAUGGUGAGGGAGAUGAGUAUGUUAUUGGAAGGCUCAUAUGGUCAGAUGGAGAACACUACGCGCAGAAGCCCUAUAGUGGUCAAUGCAACCACCCUUCAUGUGUAACCAUGCUUUUGAUUGAACUUUAUGUAACAUCAAGUGUAAGGACCAUAAAUAAAUCUAUGUUUACCAUGUGGAAGCAUCGUUACUAAAAAAGACAGACCUUGAACUUCCCUUUGAUCUAACAUCUUCCAUGGAAAACAAUGAACUUAUAAACUUAUGUCUACCAGAAAACUGUAAUACGGGCGAUGCCUGAAU